GCGGUCGUGGCGAAGGGGUUAACGCAUCGGACUGUGACUCCGACAUGCGCGGGUUCAAAUCCCGUCGAUCGCC
rnacentral:tRNA from 2 species